AAGUUAAGAUGAGGUCAUCCUGGAUUGACAGUGGGCCCUAAGUUCAGUGCCAAGUAUCCUUAUGACAGUCAGAGAAGAUGACGCAGACACGGGACAGAGCAGGCCGUGGGGAGACAGAGGCAGAGGCUGGAGUGACACAGCUACCAGCCAAAGAGCACCAAGGUUGGCUGGAGCCCCCAGCAGCGGGACAGAGGCGCAGAACAUAUGACCACAGGAGCACCUGGAAAGGACCAAACCCAGCAACAGUUGAAUUUGGACUUUUAGCCUCCAGAACCAUGAGAAAGUAAGACUCUGCUGGACUGUGGCACGCACCCGGAACACCCAUCCAGCCGCCCUGAAGGAUGCAGGCCUCUCCGCCUUUGGUUCUCCUGUGCCUCUUCAGCUCUCAGAAAUCUGCACCAUGACUCCGAUUUGACUGAUGGAGACCCAGAUACCCAGAGAGAUUAAGCAGCUCCGGCCAGGCCAUGGCUUACAUUCCAGCUCCCUCUCACUGGGUGACAACUGGCUCCCUCUGUCCCCCACGUGCCUUCUUCAGCUUGCUGCCUUUGCUGGGGAAGUGCCCACUCAGGACAGCUGAGGAGACGGAGCCACGGAGGUUGACAUAGGAGGUGAUGGAACAGCCAGUUUUCCUGCUGAGCCCAUCCGUAUAGACAGCCGGCAUGCAUUGAUGUGUCUCUCUCCCAGCUUCAACCCCUGUCUGCAGAGCUGGAGUCUCCGACUGUUCCCGCAUGUCCCUUCUCUGUUGUUACCUGCAGUCCAGACAAAAAUGGCAUAGUAAAAUAAAAGUUGAGAGAAUGC
rnacentral:lncRNA from 1 species